AACGAACGCUGGCGGCAUGCCUAACACAUGCAAGUCGAACGAGACCUUCGGGUCUAGUGGCGCACGGGUGCGUAACGCGUGGGAACCUGCCCUUAGGUUCGGAAUAACUCCCCGAAAGGGGUGCUAAUACCGGCUAAUGUCUUCGGACCAAAGAUUUAUCGCCUUUGGAUGGGCCCGCGUUGGAUUAGCUAGUUGGUAGUGUAAAAGCCUACCAAGGCGCCGAUCCAUAGCUGGUCUGAGAGGAUGAUCAGCCACACUGGGACUGAGACACGGCCCAGACUCCUACGGGAGGCAGCAGUGGGGAAUAUUGGACAAUGGGCGAAAGCCUGAUCCAGCAAUGCCGCGUGAGUGAUGAAGGCCUUAGGGUUGUAAAGCUCUUUUACCCGGGAUGAUAAUGACAGUACCGGGAGAAUAAGCUCCGGCUAACUCCGUG
rnacentral:rRNA from 1 species